rnacentral:tRNA from 1 species
GGGAAUGUGGCUUAGUGGCAGAGUGCUUGCUUAGCAAGCAAGAAGCCCUGGGUUUGAUCCCCAGUACUA